CACGUUCACCAAUGCAACGCAGAAUGGGCUCAUCCUUAUCAACAAAGGAUUUAUUUUUCGGACCAAAAUCAUACCAAGAAAAUGGAUCACAUAACCUUAAUCCAUUUCACUGCUCUUGAAAUUUCCAGAUUGCUGAUUCAACAUAUCUCUCCGUCUUUAAAGUUUGUUUACAUUUCGUUGGAAAAAAACACAAGAGGAUCACAGAAAUGUAGCGGCCGAAGAAAGAGUUCAAAUAAAUCCAAGCCCCGGCGGUCAGCUACUUGGAGAGCGAGAUCUCCAUCUUUGGCUCGGCAAUGACCCAAAACACACAUCCAGGCUGUUUAAGGGCUAUUUGAUCAAGGGGAGUGAUGGAGUGCUGCAUCAGAUGACAUGGCCUCCACAAUCACCCAACCUCAAUCCAAUUGGGAUGGUUUGGGAUGAGUUGGACGGCAGAGUGAAGGAAAAUCAGCCAGCAAUUGCUCAGCAUAUGUGGGAACUCCUUCGAGAUGUUUGGAAAAGCACUCCUCAUGAAGCUGGUUGAGAGAAUUCCAAGAGUGUGUGAAGCUGUCAUCAAGCAAAGGGUGGCUACUUUGAAGAAUAUAAUUUGUUUAACACUUUUUUGGUUACUACAUGAUUCCAAUUGUGUUAUUUCAUAGUUUUGAUGCCUUCACCA
ensembl:lncRNA